UGUGGUUUUUUUUGGCAUCCAGUUAUUCAAACUAUAUAGUCACCACUGAAGCACACAUCCUGCCCUUAGUUGUCAGAAUAAUAUAUCAAUAGCCCCAAACACCUGGAAUGCUCCAGGUACCCCACCCCCACGCCCACAGCUUAGGUUCACCUCUCAAGGACAGGUGCUCACUCCCCGAGGUGUCUGGAGAGUCACAGCAGAGAGGCCCCUGUGUUGGCUGAUGAGUUGGAAGCUGAGUGAGGAAACAGGAGAGCAGUCCGGGCAGGCUCAGCUGAGAGUCCCCUUGCCCUGCAGAGUGCGCUCUGGGUGGAGACUUGAAGGGUCCCUACAUGGCUAGUGGUGAAAGGUGCUGUUGAAAGGCUGUCUCUCCAUCUCAGGUUAAAAUUUGAAGGCUUCAUGGUGACCUCAUCUCCUGCCACCCACCUGGCACCGAGCCACUCCCCUUAACCUGGAGCCUAGAGGCUGGGAAGGACCAUAGUCUAGACUCAGAAGUAAUCAGCCCCACCCUUGCUUUCUAUAUAACUCUGGAUUCCAGAGGAAAUGGGUUCCUCCAUAAGUCGUGCUGGCAAAGGCCCUGGUCACCCACUCCGACAGGACACACAGUCUUGCCACGGCUGCAGGAGGAGAGUCACUGGCAUCCUAUCCGUCGACAAACCCUGGAAGGAACAGUCCCGGGGGUUGGGCCACAGAGGAGCCAGCUAGAAAGGGGUACGGUGCAUCUGGUGUGUGACAAUGGGUUGUUGCUGUCUGUAUGCACUUGGAAGUACGUGACACCCUUGCUCUGGGGGCUGCAGAUCUUCCAAACGUAAAGAGGGCCAUGUGGCAAACCAAUUUCUCAACAGUAUGAGAGCAGAGGCCCUUUCCCUGUCAUUGCCUCCCCCACCCAUUCCUUCUUUCUACUGAUCAUUUUUGCUUCUCUGAGAGCUGGCAGAGUGUCUGUACUUUGUAGGUGUGCUAGGGAAGUGGGACCUCACAUAGCUCGCUACCACAGUCCAGGUCUAAGGGCUGGCAGAGUGCAUUUCAUGGCUCUGCUUAGGGGAGUAGGGCCUCACAGAGCUGCCUACUGAAGCCCAAAUCUGCUGCUUCCCAGCUGUGCCACCUUGGACAAGUUAUUCAACCUCUCUGAGCCUCAGUUUCCUCACCUGGAAAUAAAAGGGAUGAUGAUACCAUCUAACGAUUAUUGAUUACUGGGCCAUUGACCACAGGCCAGGGGCUGUGUUGACACUGGCUGCAUGCAGACAUUUCCCCAAGGAGUUCUUGCUGAAUAAGUCGGCAUAAAGCAGUGGUCAAGAGCUUGCAUUCUAGAAUCCUGGUUCUGUAAUUUACCAGCUGUGUUGACCCAGAGCAAGUCCCUUCACCUCUGUGGGCCGACGUUUCCCCUCCUAUUGAAAGGAUGGUGGAGGAAGAGAAUUUGAGUGACAGCUCUCUCAAGGGCUUCAUGAGAAGUAGAGUCUGGCCUGAACCUCCCCAUCCCAAGGCCUGACGCAGAGUCAGGAACGACAGCUCAUUGAGAAAUGCCUGCAGAACAAUGAAUCCUUCAGUGUAACAUUCAGGAGAAUGUUCCUAGGCCGCGCAAUUCCCCACACAAAAAUGCCAUCUAGACCCCCCGACCCCAAUCACGAAAUCGGCCUCUUCAGAAUAACGGUAGAGAAACUUCCAGGUCCCCACAGCUGACAUAAUGUUUUUAGCAGACAUGUCCCACGAUGCCUUCCACUCCCCAGCAUGACUUCUCCUUUCCAAUAGUACUUGGGGGUCCACCUUCCCUGAACCUGCCUGUCAGGAGAUAAGCUUCCCCUGUGGCCUGGAGGCUGUUCUGAGAGUUUAAGGUCCUGAGUUGCAGUCUGGGUGAGUUUCAAUCUGGGUGUGGUAAGGAACCGGCUGUCGUGGUUCUGAGCCGUUGGCUGUUGUGCACACCACCUCUUCCCAUCCACUGUGUUCUUAAGAAUGAUGCCGGUGAAGAUAGCAGGAUUAUGGACUUUUCCAUAACAGCCUUCUACAACCAAAUCUGCUGAAAGAUCUUUGCUCCUACAAAUGUGAUUCCUGUGGCUUUCUAAUGUGAUAACUCAACAGGGUGUAGAGUCCAGGGCCUUAUGCAUUUAACUCAUGGAGGGACCUUGGCUGAGACCAUUUCUCCCAGAAGAUAAGGCUCCUUGCUUAGAACGAGAGGCUGCUGGAUUCCACCUUCGGCACUCCAGGAUGAAGGAAUAUGCAAGCUUUUGUAGUGUCGUAAGAGGAUGUUCCACCACUGGCUUGUCUCUUCCAAAUAUGAAGGUGUCUGUCUCAUGGGCUGGGAGAAAUCUCUAGACCACCAGAGACAUCUUGGAAAAUCUCCCCCAAUCAAAUCCACUGCAAUGGCAAAAUUCAUUAAUUUCUGUGGUUAAUGUUUUCUGAUACAGUUGCCUUGUCGAAUGCAGGCUGGAAGCGUGUCUGCAGACAGAUGGCACCAGCUGCGGAGCACCGGGGCACUACCCACUCCAUUGGGGAGGAUGAACUGGGACACGCCACAGAAGCGUGAUCUCGUGGCUCAGUGGGCGUGGAAGGCUGGGCCAAAGGUGUCACAAGCUUCUUACACAACAACUCACCAGAACAGGUGGCUGUGGCUUAACUGACAGCUGUUACACCAGACCCUGCAACACGAACAUAUGUUUGCCCACCCACUGUCCCUCCUUUCGGGGAAUCAGGCCCCCUCCUUCUAGAACAAUCAUGUUCAGUCCAUAAGCUUAGGUGGGCUGAACACCCUGCCCCUCUGCCCCAGAUUUGGCUAAUCAAAGUGCUCCAUUUCCUAGGCCACAGGCAUGGAGGCAGAUGAGCUGAUGACCCAAAGCUGCAUCAGUCAAUCUCUAGAAUUUUUGCUGCAGGUAUCAAGAGCAACGUGAUGAAUACGAUUUUUCCUAGGACUUUUACAGGAGCUGGUGAGAACGCUCAUGCUUCAGGGCCUGGAGCUAAACCGUCCAUAAGGUACGCAACUGCCAGGAUCCAUCUUUCCACCAGAAAAAACAUGCUUGAGGGUGAAACCAACACGGUCCUGGUGAUAAUUGAGCCUCUGGAUCCAGCCAUUCCUGAAGCUAGCCAUGUCCCUGGACUUUAUUGUUACAUGAAUAGUAACCAAGUGUGGCCGCUGGCUACACAGGAGAAGAAGCAAAAGGAGCUGCCAUAGAGAAGCUGUGAGAAGUGCACGACACCUCUCUGAAGAGCAGGACAUUUGCCUGGGCACAGAGGCCGUCUUUGGGAACACAUCUUCCACACCGAGGAAGAGGGCAGGUGUAUCGGCGGUGCUUGGGCACUGAGCAGACAUCUCUAGCCUGAGCAUUAUUCCAAUGGACUCUUUUUCUCACGGAGCCCAAACUAUUAUGAGGACCUCCAUCAGAACCGCAGGGGCCGCGCUGCCCUGAGGCCUGGUGUUGGAGCUGUCCUGGUUAGCACCUUGUCACCAUGAUCCCCUGGGGUCGAGUGGGAUCCCCUGCCACCCUCAUCGUGCACUCUAUACAUGUUAGAUUUAUGCACCAAAGUCCCCUUUUGCCCUGGAAGGCUUUUGAGGUACAGUGGACCCCAUGUGGCCCACAGAUGUUUUAAGGGAACAAAGGAGUUUCCAACCAACUUAAACAUCAGAUUUUAUAUCAAGAUGUGCAUUUCUGCCACCUCUUGAAAAGCUCAAGGACUUUUAUCCAGCUAGUUGCACUCCUAUAUAACAGGAAUCAGCCGGGUGAGGAGUGGCUAAUCCCUUUAUAUGGAGCCUAGGAGCUGCACUCCACACCACUCCCUGCUGACAACUCAAUGGCUUAAUUCACUCAUAUGACCCACCCAGACCUACAGGCACCUUAGUUUGCUAUGGCAUCCCAGUUGAGAGAGGUAAAUUUGGGGUGCCUGUUGAUGCUGGAAGAUCACACGACCAAGGCCCCAAUUCUGUGUGUCAGUCCAGGUGGCGGGCUGUCUCUUACCUCCAAAUAAUACACCUGGUUGAUAAUGAUAAGGCUAAGUAAGAAAUGAGGACAAAAGGCUGCAGUGGGUGACAGGGGCUGCUCUGUGAUGUGACAGGUCUGUCCAGGAGCCCCACUGCUGGCGGAGGGAGGUGCAACAUUAGUGUGUCACUUCCUGUGGUGUGCAAAUACGCAUCAACACAUCAGAAAAGGGGCGAAAGACUCAAACAGCCUCUUAGCAUCUAAGGUAUCCCAGGACCCACAGGGCCACAGGUACCACCCCACAAACAGUGAUUACGGCUGACUUUCCAGGCAGCUACUGCGUAUUCUGCAAACCACUCUAUAGGAGAAUCAGCUGCCCUUUGGGCAAAACGGCAGCAAAGUGUCCUUUGUGGCCUCAGAUGGCUGCCGGUUCCAGAAUCCAGUUUGUUCAGAGAGAGGCCCUGCCUGGCAAAGGCGGCCGCGUUUCUCAGCAGAGCUGUGGAGUUGAACCUGUCCCUCCCGGAGGUGUGAUGUGGGCUGUGGCUUGCAAAGGCACCAUCGUUUCCCCUUGCUGCCCUUGAUGACUUGUUGGUGGCACUCUUCCCCACAGACGAGGGGUACAGGGAUGCCACCACAGCUGCGCUGCGCUGUGCCACCUGCUCCCUGGGUUCGCAGCCAACUUGGCAGCAGAGGAGGACAGCCUGCUAUUCUUAACGCUCUGGGGCUAGGUGUUGAUUCUGCAGCUCUCUCACACAGGGGAAGCCUUCUCUGGGAGACACUGGCUCCCUUCGCUAGGCUGACCACGCUCUCUUCAGCUUUCGCACCUCCUCCUGCCUCUGCCCCACGGGCUCCAGGCUCCUGCCCUGUCCCCAGCUUCCAUCCGAGGCCAACGCCUCUUCCUGCCCUCUCUUUCCCUGGGCACCUGACCCCAACCUCGUAACUUCUGCGAUCCCCCAUACGUCAGCCAAUUCCAUGUUUUAUAUCAGGAAAUCGCAUCCCAAAGACUGUUUCCCAAUUCCUGAGAGAGACUGGGAUUUAAGACGGUGAACUCAGAAUUCCUGCAAGUUCUUAGCAAUUCUCCAAAUCCUAAGUUAUUCUUAAACUAUUAGUUAACAUCCUUCCCACUACUUAUCCAUUAUCAGAGAAAUCUAAAACUGUUUGCUUAAUAUUUAGUAGGAUUUGCAAAACACGAUACCCUAGAAUGAAUACACAAAGGCUGGGAAAGACAACUGAAUGCUGUUGGGUGCUGCUGAAAGAAUCACACAACAUGGGCCCCUGCUACCAAGGCUCAUGACACUACACAGUCUAGUGUCCAGAAUGCCAAUUUAAGGACUUAUUGUGCUUCCCAAACUUGUUACUUCUUGGAAUGCCACUAACAGAAAGUAUACAAUUCACAUAAACAUAUUAGUAUUUAUUUGCAAGAAUGAUUCAUUGUUUGCAGUAGACAGAGCCAAGAACGCACAGUUAGAACAUGGCAUCAGUGCAAGGCAAUCCUGACUAAUGAGAUCGUGACCACGUCUCUCCCACAUGUUCCUGUCCUGGUUCCUGCAAACGGCCACCCAGACCUGCAGCUCUGUGUGGUGACACCUCCUGCUCCUGCUCUAUCGGUGUGGAUUCCUCCAAACUGUGAUUGCUACACCUUAAUUAUCAGCAGGACGGUUAUAACACA